GAGCUGUUAGCUCAGUUGGUAGAGCAACUGACUUUUAAUCAGUAGGUCCAGGGUUCGAAUCCCUGACAGCUCACCA
rnacentral:tRNA from 2 species